UACGUAGGUGGCAAGGCGUUGUCCGGAAUUAUUGGGCGUAAAGAGCUCGUAGGCGGUUUGUUGCGUCGGCCGUUGAAAACCUGCAGCUUAACUGUGGGCCUGCGGCCGGAUACGGGCAGACUUAGAGUUUCGGGUAGGGGGAGACUGGAAUUCCUGGUGUAGCGGUGAAAUGCGCAGAUAUCAGGAGGAACACCGGUGGCGAAGGCGGGUCUCUGGGCCGAUACUGACGCUGAGGAGCGAAAGCGUGGGGAGCGAACAGG
rnacentral:rRNA from 1 species